AGUUAUAUUUCCAGGGAGAUUAUGGCUGCCUCUGUUGAGUCAUACAGGUCACCAGGGAAGUGGGGGAAAGUUGUCAGUCACAGGCCUCACCCUGUUCACAUGCAGCCCACAGUCCCAAAGGCCAACCUCACUCUCACCAGAGCCCUCCAACAGCACCGAGUGUAUUUCCAGGAAGCCUGUGACCAGGGCUGAGAAGUUGCCCCAGACCACGAGCCGCCCCAUUGAGAAAGCAAGCAGACUCACAGUUUUUUGGCACCUCAGGGAGCCUGCAGUGGUGAUCCAGUUCCUUCAAAGGGUCUGUGGAUUCUCUCAGCUUUCCUGUGAGGAUGCAGCCAGAACAUGCCAUCUAUGGACCAGGAAACCAGCCGUCACUAGAAAUUGAAUCUGCCACACCUUGAUCUUGGACUUCCCAGCCUCCAGAACUAGGCUGAUUGAGGAGGCAUUGGUGCAUGUUCCCCUUUGUGCAAGACACCACUUCUGGGGCUGAACACCAUCUUGACUUCUGGAACACACACAUGGUUACAUUUUGUACACACUCAAGUCCUUUAGGAAGGUGGAGGACAUGGCAUGCUGGGAUGACCAUCAUUGCCCACAUCCAGCAGCUGCGUAGCCAGCACCAAGCCCAUUACUUCUGGCCACAGCUGAAACCUCAGAUGUCUUCAGGGUUUAAUGUGACAACCCUAGUUUCUUUCCUUGGCCAGGGAUUCAGUUCAUGUCUCAACCCCAUGUUGUAGUCCUUUUGUUCAUUACCCUUCAAUUUCACCCUUACUAAGGUGCCAGUAACCCCCAGUUUGCCUCGAGCAGUCCCAGGUUAUGCCUACUCUCCAGAUGUAAUUGUUAAUAGUGCCCCUUUUCAAUUUUAAUUUCUCGUCCAGUUUGGAUGACAAAUUACAUGGACAUUCUGCUCUAGUGAAUAGACAUGACUCUAAGGACUUACAUUUGACCAAAUACGAUCUAUGUUUCAGUUUAAGGCACAAAAUGAUUAUUUACAAAAUUCCCCCUCUUUCUUUCUCCUUUUCCCACUGCUAUAGGUACCCACAGCAUUUUAGGCUUUGUCCUUUAAUUUUACCUCCAUUAGGCUGUUUUACCCUAAGCCCUGAGAACAUCAAUUUCUACCAACAGCCUUUGGUGAAACUAUUAACGGACUGUGUGUAGCUCUAACAAUUACAUUCUUAACUAGACAUUUAGAAAUUCAGGACUGGCAUUUAAUAAAAUGUCAUACAGCAAAGGCUAAGUUGUAAACAGUUGUGACAGAUGCACCAGCCUGAUUAUUUUAAAUGGAUUUAUGGAGAAAUGAGAUGACUCUUUUAAAUGCUCUUUUAUAGCAACUUAUCCACAGUGUAUGACAUCCAGUCUCUAUUUAGUGCUAUCUAUCUGUCUGUAUCAUCAUCAUUUAAUCUAUGUAUCUGCUUUAAGUGGGCCACACUUCUGAAAAAAUAAAAAAAUCAGCAAUGUUG